rnacentral:rRNA from 1 species
AACGAACGCUGGCGGCAGGCUUAACACAUGCAAGUCCAACGCCCCGCAAGGGGAGUGGCAGACGGGUGAGUAACACGUGGGAACAUGCCCAAAGGUACGGAAUAUUCCCGGGAAACUGGGAGCAAUACCGUAUGUGCCCGAAAGGGGAAAGCUUUAUCGCCUUUGGAUUGGCCCGCGUUGGAUUAGCUAGUUGGUGGGGUAUAAGCCUACCAAGGUGACGGUCCAUAGCUGGUCUGAGAGGACGACCAGCCACACUGGGACUGAGACACGGCCCAGAGUCCUACGGGAGGCAGCAGUGGGGAAUCUUGGACAAUGGGCGCAAGCCUGAUCCAGCCAUGCCGCGUGAGUGAUGAAGGCCCUAGGGUUGUAAAACUCUUUCGUGGGGGACGAUAAUGACGGUACCCCAAGAAGAAGCUCCGGCUAACUUCGUGCCAGCAGCCGCCGCGGUAA